ACUCUCCAGGUGUGUGUACUGUGUUAACGAAGCCUUUGACUUUGUUAACACAGUACACACACCUGGAGAGA